GUCUCGUUAGCGCAGUAGGCAGUGCGUCAGUCUCAUAAUCUGAAGGUCGUGAGUUCGAUCCUCCCACGAGGCA
rnacentral:tRNA from 1 species